rnacentral:rRNA from 1 species
CAAUAAGCGGAGGAAAAGAAACCAACAGGGAUUGCCUCAGUAACGGCGAGUGAAGCGGCAACAGCUCAAAUUUGAAAUCUGGGUCUUUCAGGCUCCGAGUUGUAAUUUGUAGAAGAUGCUUCGGGUGUGGCUCCGGUCUAAGUUCCUUGGAACAGGACGUCAUAGAGGGUGAGAAUCCCGUACGUGACUGGUCGCCUUCGCCCAUGUGAAGCUCUUUCGACGAGUCGAGUUGUUUGGGAAUGCAGCUCAAAAUGGGUGGUAAAUUUCAUCUAAAGCUAAAUAUUGGCCAGAGACCGAUAGCGCACAAGUAGAGUGAUCGAAAGAUGAAAAGCACUUUGGAAAGAGAGUUAAACAGUACGUGAAAUUGUUGAAAGGGAAGCGCUUGCAACCAGACUUGCACGCUGCUGAUCAUCCGGGGUUCUCCCCGGUGCACUCGGUUGCGUUCAGGCCAGCAUCGGUUUGGGUGGUUGGAUAAAGGCCUUGGGAAUGUAGCUUCUUUCGGGGAGUGUUAUAGCCCUCGGUGCAAUGCAGCCUACCCGGACCGAGG